rnacentral:sRNA from 1 species
CCAAUAGCGUAUAUUAAAGUUGUUGCAGUUAAAAAGCUCGUAGUUGAAUUUCGGGAUUGACGUGAUGGUCAUGCCUUAAGGGGUAUGAACUGUUACAGUUGAUUUCUCACCUUCUGGAGAAACUUGAUGUCCUUUAUUGGGUGUCUUGCGGAUCCAGGACCUUUACCUUGAAAAAAUUAGAGUGUUUAAAGCAGGCAUUUUUGCUCGAAUACAUUAGCAUGGAAUAAUAGAAUAGGACGGCAUGGUUCUAUUUUGUUGGUUUCUAGGAUCACCGUAAUGAUUAAUAGGGAUAGUUGGGGGCAUUAGUAUUCAAUUGUCAGAGGUGAAAUUCUUGGAUUUAUUGAAGACUAACUACUGCGAAAGCAUUUGCCAAGGAUGUUUUCAUUAAUCAAGAACGAAAGUUAGGGGAUCGAAGACGAUCAGAUACCGUCGUAGUCUUAACCAUAAACUAUGCCGACUAGGAAUCAGACGAUGUUAAUUUUUUAAUGACUCGUUUGGCACCUUACG